UACAGAGGGGGCAAGCGUUGUUCGGAAUUACUGGGCGUAAAGGGCGCGUAGGCGGCCGCCUAAGUCAGACGUGAAAUCCCUCGGCUCAACCGGGGAACUGCGUCUGAUACUGGGUGGCUUGAGUUCGGGAGAGGGAUGCGGAAUUCCAGGUGUAGCGGUGAAAUGCGUAGAUAUCUGGAGGAACACCGGUGGCGAAGGCGGCAUCCUGGACCGAUACUGACACUGAGGAGCGAAAGCCAGGGGAGCAAACGGG
rnacentral:rRNA from 1 species